UACGUAGGGUGCGAGCGUUGUCCGGAAUUAUUGGGCGUAAAGAGCUCGUAGGCGGUGUGUCGCGUCGAUCGUGAAAACCUGCAGCUUAACUGUGGGCUUGCGGUCGAUACGGGCAUCACUGGAGUUCGGCAGGGGAGACUGGAAUUCCUGGUGUAGCGGUGAAAUGCGCAGAUAUCAGGAGGAACACCGGUGGCGAAGGCGGGUCUCUGGGCCGAUACUGACGCUGAGGAGCGAAAGCGUGGGGAGCGAACAGG
rnacentral:rRNA from 1 species